AGCAGCCGCGGUAAUUCCAGCUCCAAUAGCGUAUAUUAAAGUUGCUGCAAGUUAAAAAGCUCGUAGUUGAAUUUCGGGACCAUCAUGUCGGUCGUGCCUCGGUACGUACUGGCAUUGUCGAUUCCUACCUUCUGAAGAACCUCGAUGUCAUUAAUUUGGUGUCUUGGGGAAUCAGGACUGUUACUUUGAAAAAAUUAGAGUGUUUAAAGCAGGCUCGCGCUUGAAUACAUUAGCAUGGAAUAAUGAAAUAGGACGUUUGAUUCUAUUUUGUUGGUUUCUAGGAUCGACGUAAUGAUUAAUAGGGAUAGUUGGGGGCAUUAGUAUUCAAUUGUCAGAGGUGAAAUUCUUGGAUUUAUUGAAGACUAACUAACUGCGAAAGCAUUUGCCAAGGAUGUUU
rnacentral:rRNA from 1 species